GGAAACGUAGCCUUUCCAGAUAACGCCAUCUUUGCCAAGAACGAUAACUCUAAUCUAUUGCAGAACUUGUUCAGAGUCGGCCAUGUUGACUUCAUAUGGCUCGGAGUAAAUAAAUUUCAACAGUUAUAUUGGGAUGCUUUAUGAGGUGUAAAUAAACUUUCCCGGAUAAUCAAGAUUUCACUGAUUACCUAGCCAGAGACUGUGUGUAAAUAUUCUUUCGCUUGUUUGUUUAUUCCUGUACAUACCCCUUGUUGGAAAACUCAAGGAUUCAUCUUUGGUUUUUCUUCAUUGAUGAUUUUUCCUAAAGACAUUGAAAAAAAAAAGAAAAGAAAAGAAAAAAGACAAAAAAAAAAGAUUUAUUCAGUUGAGCUUUUAAGGUGCAGUAUUGGCUGGAUGGUUGUGAGAAGGACGAUGAUGUUUAUGAAUUAACAGAACAGGAAUUUUAUACAGAUUUGAAGGACGGAAAUUUGUUUAUCCUUAACAGUACACAGUUGGAUCAUUGCUACACAAAUUCUUGAAAAAGACUAUAAGGUUUUACAAUUUUAUGUGGAAAGGCUAGGAAACGUGCAGAUUUUAGACGAAGUGUGCAUUUGGUUAUAGGAAUUUCUUUUACCGCUUUUGGCCAUUUACCAUCUUAACUUGUUUUGUUAUAUAUAGCACUGGAUAACACAUGCAAGUUGGAUAAAAACGAUAUUAAAGAGGAUCCAACCAGCUAUUCUCAAGAAAAUGCUGUUUUAGUUUUUCUUUUGUCUAUUUUUGUAAAUUUAAAUAAAAAUUAUGUUGAUUUUA